CCUACGGGAGGCAGCAGUGGGGAAUUUUCCGCAAUGGGCGAAAGCCUGACGGAGCAAUACCGCGUGAGGGAAGACUGCCUAUGGGUUGUAAACCUCUUUUUUCAGGGAGGAAUAAAAUGACGUGUACCUGAAGAAUAAGCAUCGGCUAACUCCGUGCCAGCAGCCGCGGUAAGACGGAGGAUGCAAGUGUUAUCCGGAAUCACUGGGCGUAAGGCGUUUGUAGGUGGUUUGAUAAGUCAACUGUUAAAUCUUGAGGCUCAACUUCAAAAUCGCAGUCGAAACUAUUAGACUAGAGUAUAGUAGAGGUAAAGGGAAUUUCCAGUGGAGCGGUGAAAUGCGUAGAUAUUGGAAAGAACACCAAUGGCGAAAGCACUUUACUGGGCUAUUACUAACACUCAGAGACGAAAGCUAGGGUAGCAAAUGGGAUUAGAUACCCCAGUAGUCCUAGCCGUAAACUAUGGAUACUAGAUGUUGAACAGAUCGACCUGUGCAGUAUCAAAGCUAACGCGUUAAGUAUCCCGCCUGGGAAGUAUGCACGCAAGUGUGAAACUCAAAUGAAUUGACGG
rnacentral:rRNA from 1 species